UGCACAAAAUUUAAAGCUCUCUCACAACCCCUGCUCACAGAUAUACAUUGGUUCUGGAAUAUGCAACCAUUUCCUUUCUUACUCACUUAAGGCCACACUUUCCCAAACACCAUCUAUCCACAUACUGUGCCUUCUGUCUGCUGUGUUUUUAUCUCCACCAUGUUGAAUUAGUGCUUUUGUGUCCUAUUAGAUAUUAUUCAAGUUAGCUAUAUUAUUUUUGUGUGUUAUUACAAUCCAUAACAGUGCUAGAAUUGUGUUUCAUUAUUUGCCUCCUCUAUGAGAAUUUAGUAAUUUUUAGAAUAGCCAUGGAGUAGUCUUUGCGUCUCUGAACAAUUGGCAAUCAAUAUAUAGUUUAUCAACUACGAGAGCUACGCGUUUCCCUUUCAAUCUAUUUUCCUUGUAAGUUGGAUACAGAACUUUGCGCCGUUCUGCAAUUUCCCUCGGGAACGGGUCAUUCAUGCCUAUUUCGAGCCAGUAAGUCUUUUACCCAGGCUUUUAACCAUUAUUUUAAAUUUGGCAACGAUUGGGGGUUCAUACCUCUGUCCGAAAGCGGUGUACACGGUGGAGUUGGAUUCUGUCGAUAGCUUUGUGUGGGCUCUGAGCACUGUAAGGAGGAACUCUCUAACUACACUUUCAGGAACUUCUCCUUCUUUCUCUUGGAUACCUAUACCUUGCAGCUGGAGAUUCCUUCAAAUCCUUUGUAGGGCACUGCACGGUUGGGUGCAUUGUCGCGAGUGUGACCAGGGCCAUCUGGGACAGGGGAUCAGAGGGGGUGGAUCAGGAUCAGGGGUGUGUGAAGGCUCCCUGUGUCCUGCAUAACUUCAUUAGAUGGACACGAGGACCAGGAGGGGACCUGCAGCUUGCCGGCGUGUGCCAGAGGAGAGGCCUGCUGCUCUGCACGAUAGUGCACGGAUAGGGGCCAACAACGCAGCACAGGAGGCUGUUUGCGGAAGACCUUCAACUCCUACUUCUUCGAUGAGGUGCCUUACCCUGGUAACACCUGGUGCAACAGACUAAACACUAUGCACAACCAAAGGCUCUUUUAAGAGUCACCCACAUUGCAAUUAGAGUAUUCUUCCAUUUACUUAGCUACAGUAUGUCAACUGCAGUUAUUAAAUUCCCAGUUUCUCUCCCUUUGAUUUCUACUUCUCAGUUGAGGGUGUUGUUAAAGUAAGGGUGAUGUCUGCACAUACAAUACAAAACAGGCUCUUUUAAGAGUCACCCAAAUAUAUAUAUUUUUUUACUAUUAGACACCCUACAACCCACACCUACAUGCUUGUGAAGAGGGCACGACAAAAUCUAUUCCCCCUCAGGAGACUGAAAAGAUUUGGCAUGGGUCCUCAGAUCCUCAAAAGGUUCUACAGCUGCACCACAGAGGGUAGUGCGUAUGGCCCAGUACAUCACCGGGGCUAAGCUUCCUGCGAUCCAGGACCUCUAUACCAGGCGGUGUCAGAGGAAGGCCCUAAAAAUGGUCAAAGACUCCAGCCACCCUAGUCAUAGACUGUUCUCUAUGCUACCGCACGGCAAGCGAAACCAGAGCACCAAGUCUAGGUCCAAGAGGCUUCUAAACAGCUUCUAUACCCCAAGCCAUAAGACUCCUGAACAUCUAAUGAAAUGGCUACCCAGACUAUUUGCAUUGCUCCCCCCCUCUUUUACACUGCUGCUGCUCUCUGUUAUUAUCUAUGCAUAGUCACUUUAAUAACUGUACCUACAUGUAUGUAUUACCUCAAUUACCUAACAUUUUAGCUACUUCGCAUGUUACCUAACCCUUCCCCUAACCAUUAAAUCUAACCGUUUAACCUAACUCCUAACCUUAACCUUAACCCCUAGCCCAGCCAAUGUUACGUUAGCAUUAGCCACCUAGCUAACAUUAGCCACAACAUAUUGGAAUUUGUAACGUAUCAUUCGUUAAAUAUUGUACAUUUGCAAAUUUGGAACAUAAUACAAAUUCUAAUUAGUAACAUAUCAUAUGAAAUGGAUGAUAGACAUCCACAAACUAAUACAUACCAUACAAAACAUAACAUACAGUAACUAGAUUUUUUACAAAUGAUUUCUCUAAAUAAGAUUUGUUGUGCAGAUCAAAUACACUGCAUUUCAAACAGUCAGCAAUAAUCUAAUGAAUUCAGGACUUGUGAAAUUAUACCUAGGCUAAAUAUAAGCCUUCCACAAUCAUAAGACUCAGUAAUUAUUUUAUUUUAUGAAAAUAGUUAAACCUGCUUUUUUGCAACAAUCACCGACCUGGCUUUUAAGUUUGUCUAUGAAUAUGCACUUUUUGUUACAAUGUAACCAGAACCAUGCACAAUGCACAUUCACUUCUUGUAGCAGGCAUUAUAGAAAAUUAGCACAGGUCUCUUAAACAAUCUCUCAAGCACAAGCCCACCUGCUAGGAGCAGCCAGCUAAUCUUCAUAGGAAUCUUUAUAUUUAAAGUUUAGCCAACUUGGAUCUGUUUGCUAGCUAACAAGGCAGAACAGUUGCAUUGUUGUGAACACCACCUUCUGUCCAUAUUAUACUGUUUGAACAGCAUGCUAGCCUGCCAACUUUGUUAAGAUGUUGCAAUCAAGUGGCCUACCUUAUUUCUCAGAAUGAAAAAGAGUUGCCAAUUCCAUUUAUGUUUUAUGCUUAUUGCACAUUUUAUGAAAGAUACUAGAUGGCUAGUAUAAUCAACACAGGGGCCCCUCAAGGGGCACGACUCCAACACCAUCAUCAAGUUUGCUGAUGACACAAAAGUGGUAGGCCUGAUCACCAACAACGAUGAGAUAGCCUACAGGGAGGAGGUCAGAGACCUGGCCUAGUGGUGCUAGGACAACAAUCUCUCCCUCAAUGUGAUCAAGACAAAGGAGAUGAUUGUGGACUACAGGAAAAGGAGGACCGAGCACGCCCCCAUUCUUUUCGACGGAGCUGCAGUGGAGCAGGUUGAGAGCUUCAAGUUCCUUGCUGUCCACAUCACCAACAAACUAUCAUGGUCCAAACACACUAAGACAGUUUUGAAGAGGGCAUGACAAAGCCUAUUCCUCCUCAGGAGACUGAAAAGAUUUGGCAUGGGUCCUCCGAUCCUCAAAAGUUUCUACAGCUGCACCAUCGAGAAUAUCCAGAUGGGUUGUAUCACUGCCUGGUAUGGCAAUUGCUCGGCCUCUGACCGCAAUGCACUACAGAGGGUAGUGCAUAUGGCCCAGUACAUCACUGGGCCAAGCUUCCUGCCAUCCAGGAGGUGUCAGAGGAAGGCCCGAAAAAUUGUCAAAGACUACAGCCACCCUAGUCAUGGACUGUUCUCUCUGCUACAACACAGCAAGCAGUACCGGAGCGCCAAGUCUAGGUCCAAAAGGCUUCUUAACAGCUUCUACCCCCAAGCCAUAAGACUCCUGAACAGCUCAUCAAAGGGUUACCCAGACCCCUCUUUUACGCGGCUGUUACUCUCUGUUUAUUAUCUAUGCAUAGUCACUUUAACUAUGCCUACAUGUACAUAUUACCUCAAUUACCUCGACUAACCGGUGCCCCCACACUUUGACUCUGUCUCGGUAGGACCUGUAUAUAGCCUCGCUAUUGUUAUUUUACUGCUGCUGUUUAACUAUUUGUUACUUUUAUUUUCAAUUUUUUUUCUUAACUUCAAAGCAUUGUUGGUUAAGGGCUUGUAAGUAAGCAUUUCACUGUAAAGUCUACACAUGUUGUAUUCGGCACAUGUGACAAAUACAAUUUGAUUUGAUAUAGCAGUCUUUGGCUAAAAUAAAACCUUCAAGGACUGUUGGAAAAGCAUUCCAGGUGAAGCUGGUUGAGAGAAUGCUAAUCGUGUGCAAAGCUGUCAAGGCAAAGGGUGGCUACUUUGAAGAAUCUCAAAUAUAAAAUUAUUUUGAAUUGUUUAACAAUUUUUUGGUUACUACAUGAUUCCAUAUGUCUAAUUUCAUGGUUUUGAUGUCUUCACUAUUAUUCUAAAAUGUAGAAAAUUGUAAAAAAUAAAGCAAAACCCUGGAAUGAGUAGGUGUGUCAACCUUUGACUGGUACUGUAUGUCGGAAACCACGUUUCUGACUUUUGAAAAUGUGAUGUUUCGCCCACAUUUUACACCUGAUUAUGUUUUGUACAUGUAAAAACAUUUACAUGUGAAAAGUAUGUUUCCUAAAAGCAUUUUUUUUUCCUAUGUGAAAAUAUUAUUUUUUUCACAUUGUUUUUGUAAGGGAAGGUAUUCAAUAUGUGGGCAAAACAAAUAUAAAAAAAUCUAAAAGGGGCACCUUGCGCUACUGCUUUUGAAUUGCAUCUGCUUAUCAUUUUUAGGUGGAUGAAGUGCCACACACUAAGAUACUGACAGAACUGGAAUUCUGGCCUAACCUCCAAUGACAUGACAUGUGUCGGUCACAAAGACCUUUCUCAAGGCCAUGACCAAAAUAAUGGAUGUUAGCAAAUGUUAUUUCUGCAAGUACACGCUGUGUACAGAUACAUUUGCUCUGUCUGCUUAAUCUUCACUCUAUCUACCCACCUGAGAACAAACAUGUCUUCAGGUCUGAAGAAGACAAUUACCUCAUUCUAACACUUCGUUUUUUCAAAAGCUUUGGCAAAUUUUUCAGAUGUCAGUGGUUUAUUUUCAAAAUGCUAUGUACAAAACUCUCAACUGAUAACAUUUGUAAAACUCUCUGUCUUAUGUUCAGGACUGUUGAUUGUGUACUCAUUGGAGUUGAACACAUCUUUCAUCCAUAAGUCAUUCAUGCAAAAUGUAUGUUUUCCAUGAAAUACCAUGAGAGCAUUUUGUUUAGUCACCAAUACAUCAGAUGAUAGGCUCACUGUUUAGUCAUUUUAACUAACAUUUCAUCCAAUAGCAAAACAAAUAAAAUCUAAACGGUUAUUUUGUAAGUGUUGAAUAAAAAGAAUAGAAGAUGUGACAAUUUCCCAUACAGUAUUUGACUGGAAAAUAAUAUGGACAAUUAUUUUUGCAAACCAAUUUUUGUAAUAAAUUGUAUCCAAUGGCAGGUUGUUAGCAUGUAGGGAAUAUAGCCUAUAGUGCAUUCGGAAACUAUUCAGACCCCCCCCCCUGUCUUUUAUUACCAUAUCAUUUUUGUAUGUUCUCUAUAGUGAUGUACUUGAAAAUGUUUUAAUUGACCAGUUUGGCACAUUUGGGCAAACUUGAUACAAUAUUUUGUUUAGUAUUGCAAUGCUUCACUGGAUCAGUCUGAAACGUUGCACAUACACUGCUGCCAUCUUGUGGCCAAAAUCCUAAUUGUGCCUAAACUGCAAUAUUAUAUUAUGGCCUUUCUCUUGCAUUUCAAAGAUGAUGUAACCAAAAACAAAUGAGUAAAUGAAUGUUUUUUUGUAUUAUCUUUUACCAGA